GAGGGGCCUGGUGUCUGACCCCGGGGGCGGAGCUGUGCCGGAGGCCGAAGUUCUUGCCCCGCGCUGGGCCCCGGCUGCCGCUCGGUGUGGAGGCCCGGCAGAGCCUGCUUUGUGCUCGGAGGCCGGGAGGAGCUGUGCGCGGAGACUGCGCGGAGACGGCGGCGGGCGCUGCUCGUGCCGCUCUGCGCUCCCGAAGGCCUUCGAGGUGACGAGAGUUACAGCAAAUACAUCGUUUAUUUAACGGGGUAUUCACGUUCUCCAUUAAGAAAUUAAGCUUUCAAAAUGAAAUACAGCUGUAUGUACAGUGCAAAAGGUCAGCACCCCUCUCCCAGCAUAACCGCGCUGACACAGCAUGGGGCAAACACGUUUUUCAGGGCAGAUUCAAGGGUUUCUUCCAGUAUAAAUCCUCACAGCACCCUGCUGCCCGUCAGAUUCAGGCCACUGAAUAUAUCCAAAAAUCAAUUUCUCAUUACUAGUCCUAGGCAAAUUCAACACAGGUAGCAGCAACUAGAAAUCAGGUCCUGCAGCAAUGCAGCACGGCCAGCUUUAAUCAAGAGUGCCUCAGCUGAUCUGUGUCAGGCCUGAUGAGCACAGAGCUCCCAUCUGAGCUCACUGUCUCUAAGCCAGCUGCCCAGCAGCAUGUUUUUGGCUGUACCAUCUCUGUUCAGACCUCUGAGACGCCCUGUAGUGCUUGGAGGAUGGGGAGCUGUGCUGCUGCUUGUUACCCACAGCUUCAGUGCAUGUAGUUGCUGUUGCUCCAUGUAGGCCGAGUAGCUUUAAAUGAGGAAGAGCAAUUAGCAGUCAUUACUGAGCUCUUGGAAGAGUUAAGCCACUUGUUUUUCCAGGCCAUUUACUGCUGUCAUGUCAGGGGUGGUCUGUCUUUGCUUUUUGCUGUGAGUACUCCCUGAAUUCUCAAGCAGCAAAGCUCUGUGCAGAGCUCACCAGGGGCCGUCGUGCGUAUCGUCAAGUGCCACGGGUUGCAGGGCGCUCUGCAUGGACGUGUCUGAAUGCUGCAAUUCCUGCAAGAAUCUCUGGAAAACAAUCACACCAUACAGAAAAUAGGAAUGAUCAUCAAGGAAGUCUUCCUGAUUUCUCUUGUUCUAUGAAAAGGAACUACACACUUUUGUGGAAAAUCUUGUGAAGAAGCUCUGAAGGAUGCAGGAUGAUUGUCCUGGUGCACAACGCAGAGGUUCAGGUCAAGGUGAAGCCACUUGCUGCUGUUUUGAUUUACUGAGCAAAUGCUUUUACCCAUGAGAUGUGAAGUGGGAUUCCUUUUGUCAAUACCAUUACUGUGCCACAAUUUAUAAGCACGGUGUUCUGUUGGCUGGGGUGCCACCCAUAGCUUUUGCAUUAGAAUCUUAAAUAUGGAUGCAGAGAUCCCUGUUGUAGAAGCCCCAUCUUGUGGACAACCAAUCAAUGACUACUUCAGCACUACGAAGAUUCAAAAUACUUAGAAAAGUUGAGGCUAAUUUUGAAGACUUUUGCAAUAAACUGCAGUGUCUUCGGUCUGCUGGACAGUAUGCAAACAUUCAUGUGCAGAAACUGGCAUUUGCAGAUGUUUCCACAGGUAAGCAGUAGUGAAUUACAGAGAGAAGGCAAACAGAGAUGGAGACAAGAAUUUGUUGCCAGAAUUCUAAGACUAAUUUUGCUGAAGUGCUGCUAAGCCUGAAUCCUGCACUGAAUUCCCAGAAUGGUUUCCUGUAGCAUCUUGUGUAAUACACGUUAGUCUCUGGCUGACAAAAUCACAUGAGGGCAGAAGAACAUUGUUUGAAAAGCUUGUUCAGACAAAAAGAAUAACAAAGACUGCAUGGAAACUGAACCUGGAAACUUUGGGAACAUCCUUCAAGGAAUGCCUUUUUUCAGCACAAAAUAAUCAAAAAGGGCAAGCAACCCAGAGUCAAUGAGCCAACAUACAUGGUACAAAGAGUAUUGGGAAGGGGAGGAAAAAUGUGAAAGUAAUCCCUAAUAUAAACUGUUUUCAGGUGCAAGUGUGACUAGUAGCAUAUACUAUAUAUAAUUGUGCAUAGUAUGUUCAAUUACACGGAAUUCUUAUAUAUUUAAAUAUAUAAUUCGGGUAUAUUUUGAAGAAAUUAUGCUAAUAUAUAAUAUCUAAUUUUCCAUUCAAUAACAGUAAAGAUUGUAAUAAAAUAGCCAGAAAGUAUAGCGACAUCUAGGGAAAGUUUAGCAGAAGUGCCUCCUUGCUGUAACCUAGCUCCAUCUCUACUCAUAAGGUUGGCAUUUGACAGAUGCAGUGUAUUAAAAACGGAAGAUUAAUUGCACACAUUUGUGGAGUUCUGUGCAUUCCUUCUUGCACUAUUAGGUUUUAUCAAGAAAAUGUAAGAUGAUAAUCUCAAGUGUAAAUUUGGAGAAAUACACACGCAUCUUCUGCCAGUGUUUAUAGAGUUUACUUGAAAGGAAAUAAGAGGUGUGAUUGGAAAUUACUACUUUGUGGAGAUGGGUAUCAUGGCUCAUAAAUGAAUGCACAUGUAGGUCACGUUAAAGAAAUAAGGAUGAAAAUUCAUUUUACUGCACACACUUCUGUAAAUAUUGAAUUUGGGUGCCUCUAGCCUUUGUAGAUAUUUAAUCUUUUUGCAUAUUAAGUUUUUAUUGUUCUCAAACUGUUGAUGAUGUUGAUAUUCCUAGUGAUUAAACAUAAAGAUUUGCAAUGGUGUUAGGGAAAUUUACAUCAUUUGAAAGCAAAGCUUGGUGUGUUACGUUGCUACACAAAUACAUGCAGUUGAACUGAGAGCUUGGUAUGCGAUUUUAGCAUUUUCAACAGUGUGGGUUUUUGCAGCUGGGUGGCAUGUGAUUUGUUUAGGCAUUCAACUGCCACUUCUGUUUGAUUUUGUUUGCUAUCUAUCAUACAUUUCUCUUUAUACCAAGUUAUUAACUUUUUAACAACAGUUACAUUCCAUAUAUUUGGCUGCAGAUUAAUAGAAAAGACUGAUCUUGCCUUAAAGCUCUAAGAAGAAAGUUCAGUGUGUCAGUCACAACUCCAGAAGGAGCUUCUGGUUUAACAACAGCGCAGGUCGUGUGUUUGCAUGAAGCAAUGUGCUCAAAUUGUAUCUCUUAAUAGGCGAUAAGUUACAAUACCAUCUCAUUUGCCAGACUUCAGUUAUAGUGCAGGUAGGUGUUACACGCCUUCUAUCUCUUUUUCGGCAUGUUAAGAGGCAGAAAUGGAGAGGGAAGAGAAGAAGGAAGGGAAAUUUUCACCUAGAGAAGGUGAAAAGUCCACCACAUAGCCUUCGCAAUGCUAUGGAUCGAUGGCAUAAGAUGCCUUACUAAUUUUUUUUAAUGAUCUGAAACAACAGAUGCUUUUACUUGCAAGUCUACAUUAUAAUAUCUCCUUUAUUCUGGGGAAAAGAGGGGGGGAAAAAA